rnacentral:rRNA from 1 species
GAUGAACGCUGGCGGCGUGCCUAAUACAUGCAAGUCGAGCGAACGGACGAGAAGCUUGCUUCUCUGAUGUUAGCGGCGGACGGGGGAGUAACACGUGGAUCACCUACCUAUAAGACUGGGAUAACUUCGGGAAACCGGAGCUAAUACCGGAUAAUUUUUUGAACCGGAUGGUGCAAAGGUGAAAGACGGUGUUGGUGUCACUUAUAGAUGGAUCCGCGCUGCAUUAGCUAGUUGGUAAGGUAACGGCUUACCAAGGCAACGAUGCAUAGACGACCUGAGAGGGUGAUCGGCCACACUGGAACUGAGACACGGUCCAGACUCCUACGGGAGGCAGCAGUAGGGAAUCUUCCGCAAUGGGCGAAAGCCUGACGGAGCAACGCCACGUGAGUGAUGAAGGUCUUCGGAUCGUAAAACUCUGUUAUUAGGGAAGAACAUAUGUGUAAGUAACUGUGCACAUCUUGACGGUACCUAAUCAGAAAGCCACGGCUAACUACGUG